UCCUGCUGUCAUUGUGUUGUC
rnacentral:piRNA from 1 species